GGCGUGCUUAACACAUGCAAGUCGAACGGAAAGGCCCUGCUUUUGUGGGGUGCUCGAGUGGCGAACGGGUGAGUAACACGUGAGUAACCUGCCCCUGACUUUGGGAUAACUUCAGGAAACUGGGGCUAAUACCGGAUAGGAGCUCCUGCUGCAUGGUGGGGGUUGGAAAGUUUCGGCGGUUGGGGAUGGACUCGCGGCUUAUCAGCUUGUUGGUGGGGUAGUGGCUUACCAAGGCUUUGACGGGUAGCCGGCCUGAGAGGGUGACCGGCCACAUUGGGACUGAGAUACGGCCCAGACUCCUACGGGAGGCAGCAGUGGGGAAUAUUGCACAAUGGGCGGAAGCCUGAUGCAGCAACGCCGCGUGCGGGAUGACGGCCUUCGGGUUGUAAACCGCUUUCGCCUGUGACGAAGCGUGAGUGACGGUAAUGGGUAAAGAAGCACCGGCUAACUACGUGCCAGCAGCCGCGGUGAUACGUAGGGUGCGAGCGUUGUCCGGAUUUAUUGGGCGUAAAGGGCUCGUAGGUGGUUGAUCGCGUCGGAAGUGUAAUCUUGGGGCUUAACCCUGAGCGUGCUUUCGAUACGGGUUGACUUGAGGAAGGUAGGGGAGAAUGGAAUUCCUGGUGGAGCGGUGGAAUGCGCAGAUAUCAGGAGGAACACCAGUGGCGAAGGCGGUUCUCUGGGCCUUUCCUGACGCUGAGGAGCGAAAGCGUGGGGAGCGAACAGGCUUAGAUACCCUGGUAGUCCACGCUGUAAACGGUGGGUACUAGGUGUGGGGUCCAUUCCACGGGUUCCGUGCCGUAGCUAACGCUUUAAGUACCCCGCCUGGGGAGUACGGCCGCAAGGCUAAAACUCAAAGGAAUUGACGGGGCCCCGCACAAGCGGCGGAGCAUGCGGAUUAAUUCGAUGCAACGCGUAGAACCUUACCUGGGUUUGACAUGGAUCGGGAGUGCUCAGAGAUGGGUGUGCCUCUUUUGGGGUCGGUUCACAGGUGGUGCAUGGCUGUCGUCAGCUCGUGUCGUGAGAUGUUGGGUUAAGUCCCGCAACGAGCGCAACCCUUGUUCACUGUUGCCAGCACGUUAUGGUGGGGACUCAGUGGAGACCGCCGGGGUCAACUCGGAGGAAGGUGGGGAUGACGUCAAGUCAUCAUGCCCCUUAUGUCCAGGGCUUCACGCAUGCUACAAUGGCUGGUACAGAGAGUGGCGAGCCUGUGAGGGUGAGCGAAUCUCGGAAAGCCGGUCUCAGUUCGGAUUGGGGUCUGCAACUCGACCUCAUGAAGUCGGAGUCGCUAGUAAUCGCAGAUCAGCAACGCUGCGGUGAAUACGUUCCCGGGGCUUGUACACACCGCCCGUCAAGUCAUGAAAGUUGGUAACACCCGAAGCCGGUGGCCUAACCGUUGUGGGGGAGCCGUCGAAGGUGGGACUGGUGAUUAGGACUAAGUCAUAAC
rnacentral:rRNA from 1 species